GCAGCUACAGAGCCUCUUUGAAACACCAGGACAUCCUCAAGGGCACUUCUGCAGGGCACACAUUUGCCUGAACCUGGGAUAGACAACCACAGAUUCAACCUUCCACCUUUUCCUCGCCUAAUUUUUGCAGUUUAGAGCAAGGACGUGCCUGCACCACGGAGAGAACAAUGACAACAAGUUGGAGAUGAGGUGACUUGCGUGCCCGGGUGGACCCUGCCUCCGCCGUGGGAGCCUCCAGCUGUGCGCAACAGGAAAAAAAGGGGGACCCACGCUUUGGAUGUUUUUAUCGAGGAGCGCGUGGAGAGGAAUAGAGAGAGAGACACCGACCGUCCGACCUUCCUCCUCCUCCUUGUCCUCCCCCUGUUCCACAACCGAGAAAGCACCCGGUGAAUGCAGCCCCACUGCACUGAAGUGAUGACACUUGGUGGUCCAUGGAGUGCAUUCUAACCACGACUACAGGAUUGAAGUGAAGAUUUUGGGAGACAAGAAAAUGGAAACUAACGUCACUGAUGAAGCAGAAAGGAACAAUGAAGCCCAGCAGGGAGGGAGGAGGCAGCCCUAUGGGCGGCGAGAGAGCUUGGAUCAACCGACACCUUUUUUUUUUUUUUCAUUAGCACCACCCAAAACCUUGAGAGUCUACUGGUUCAAGUGGGACACGCCUGUCCACCUCCACCCCUGCUCUCAGAGCCACAGUGUCCUCUAAUCGCAGUACCACAAGAUGAAAAAGACGAGGCUUCGUGUGAGGCAGCAGCAGUAUAACUGGACAUAACAUACAAAUACACACAGAUGCAGCUGCUGUAAUGUCACUGCAGUUCUCCGGAUGAAACAGAACCAUAGCUGUUGGGCUGCGAGGACACGACCGAUACGUGAAGGUGGAGUCUCAAAAAAUAUGAGUGUGUGUGUCAUGUGUGAAAAUUGAUGUUAUUUAAUGUUAUGAGUUUAAACACUUUGAGGCUACUCUCUUCCAAAUUUAUAGUCAUUUUGAUGGCUGUUAUACUUCAUUCAUUUGCUGUGUUUUUACAGUUUUAAAUUGUUUGCAAAUAUCUGUGUGCAAAAACUAGGUCCAUAUUAGUUGAUAAAUGCUUUUUAAAAUUGCACUUUAAUGUAUAGCUAAUAUUGACAUGUGCAAUGAUGCCACAGUAUAAAGUCGCUGCUGUGAAAGUAUUUUGUGAAGAUUAUUUUGUGACAUGUAAACAUAUUUUACUCUAUACAUUAUAACUGUAACUGAGAGGCAUUUGGUCAGAAAUACAUUUAAUUUGCCCCCGUUUGAAAUUGUUACACAACUUGCUGCUCCUUCCUCUCGAUGUCACGCUGACUUCGAUUCCUCCACUUGUGUCAAAGAAUUCGAGCAGCUGCACGACGACUGUCAGCAUGUAGACACAUUUUUAUACUCUUGUCCCUCUGCUGAGUACAUGACAGGCUUUGCUUUGUGCCAUAGAGCCUCGGUGUGUCAGAAUUUUAUGUUUAGUUUGGAUGUGUGUGUGUGUGUGUGUGUGUGUGUGUGUGUGUGUGUGUGUCAGAGAGAGAGAGUGAGAGAGAGACAGGGAGCAUGGCGGCAGAGGGGAUGAUUCGGGGGGGGAUGCUGUUGCAAAUAGCUUUUCUGGGUCGGAGUGGGGAAACAGAGAGCACAGAAUGGUGACAGCUGGUUGUGCUGAAACAUCCAGCGUGUGUGAGCAUGACUGGCUUUUUCAUGUACGUGCAAAUGUUGAAAAAAUAAAAAAUAAAG